rnacentral:rRNA from 1 species
UACGGAGGGUGCUAGCGUUGUUCGGAUUUACUGGGCGUAAAGGGUACGUAGGCUGUUUAUCAAGUUGGGAGUGAAAUCCCGGGGCUCAACCCCGGAACUGCUCUCAAAACUGGUAGGCUAGAGUUAAGUAGAGGAUAGUGGAAUUCCCAGUGUAGAGGUGAAAUUCGUAGAUAUUGGGAGGAACACCAGAAGCGAAGGCG